UACGUAGGGUGCGAGCGUUGUCCGGAAUUAUUGGGCGUAAAGAGCUCGUAGGCGGUUUGUCGCGUCUGCUGUGAAAACUGGGGGCUCAACCCCCAGCCUGCAGUGGGUACGGGCAGACUAGAGUGCGGUAGGGGAGAUUGGAAUUCCUGGUGUAGCGGUGGAAUGCGCAGAUAUCAGGAGGAACACCGAUGGCGAAGGCAGAUCUCUGGGCCGUAACUGACGCUGAGGAGCGAAAGCGUGGGGAGCGAACAGG
rnacentral:rRNA from 1 species